GUGUGUGUAUGUGUGUGUACAUGUGCAUGUGCACAUGUAUUAAACCCCAAACCAAACCCAUUCCCAUCACGUUGAUCCUCAUAACUCAGCAA
rnacentral:miRNA from 1 species